AUCACAAGGAAGUAUUUCCCUUAAUAAACUAGCAGGUGGAGCCCCUCUGGCUGAGGGGUUAGAUCAGCCAAUAGCUGGGGUAGGGGGCAAGCACAUUCAUGCAAGUAGGGUGCAGGUGAAACAGGGUCUGGCUGAGCAAGAGAUGUACAAAGAGAAAGAGAACAGCUAUCUUGAGUGGCCUGAUCAUGCAAUGGCCAAGUGAGGAACUGUUACUUUAAAGAUCAGAUUACAGGGACUUCCCUGGUGGUACAGUGACUGAAACUCCGUGCUCCCAAUGUCGGGGGCCUGGGUUCAAUCCCUAAUCAGGGAACUAGAUCCCACAUGCCAAAACUAAGAGUUUGCAUGCCGCACUGAAGAUCCUGUGUGUCACAACAAAGGUUGAAGAUCCCACAUGCCACAGCCAAAAAAAAAUAUUCCAUUACAAAUCACUGUGACUUCCAUCUUGCUUCCAUUCUCCUUUUUCUUUCCCUGGUUUGUGCUGAUGAAGCCAAUGGCUGUGUUGUGAGCUAUCCUAUGGAAAGGACAGCCAACAGCCUGUGAAGAACUGAAGCUGUCGGUCCAGCAACCUGCAAGGAACUGAAAUCUGCCAACCACCACCUGUGUAAACUUGGAAGUAGCUCCACUCCCAGUGGAGUCUGAAGGUGACUGCAUCCCCCGCCGACACCUUGAUGGCAACCUGUGAAGAGACCCAGAGCCAGGGGACCCUGCCAAGCUGUGACUGCAUUCCUGACACACGGGAAUCUGUGAAGCAACAAAUGAUGUGUUAAGCCACCAACUUUUGGGGUGAUUCAUCAUGCAACAAGCAGCAGAGAAGCCCCACCCCAUGAAAACCCUGGACCCCAGGCUCGGUCCGACUCCAGCACGGCCACCAUCAGCCCAGCUUUCCACUGAGGAGUCACCACAACUGGGGUUACUCCCAAGGUCCCCCAAGUUCCCUGGAGCACUGACCACCCCGACUCCACCCUGCAUCCUCUGUAAGCAGAGAGCCAGCCUGUCCCCUACUCAUUCUCACCUCCAAACCUCUGUCCCUCUGGACUCCUGCUUGUAUGAUUAGUUUGGCCAAGUCUUGCAGCUUGUGGGAUCUUAGUUCCCCAACCAGGGAUUGAACCCAGGGCCCCAGCUGUGAAAGCACCAAGUCCUAGCCACUGGACUGCCAGGGAAUCGGACCCCUGCUUGCAAGCCUUUACUCUCAGCCUGCUCAAAUCGUAGUCCCCUUUCAAGCCCUCAUGGAAGAGCACUGUCCCUGGCUGCAGGCUUCCCUGCCUGUCCUGGGCACCAGAAGGACCCCGCGCCUCAACCCCUGUACCCACGGACACCGCCUGUCCUCUUCCCCAGGAAGCCUUGGCUGUGCUCUCUCUACUUCCCACGCUCUUUCCAGCCUCUGCUCGUCAGUCUCCUCAGACUCCCUUGAGCAUUCGUUCAGGAAUGAGUAGAGAAAUGGGUGAUUUUUUUACCUAGGGCAGUUUCCACCAGAUUUCUAUUUUGGAUUUCCCAGAU
ensembl:lncRNA